CCGCGGUAUUUUGACCGUGCAAAGGUAGCAUAAUAAUUAGUUUAUUAAUUGUGAACUUGUAUGAAUGGUUGGACGAAAUAUUAACUGUCUUUUAUUUAAAAAUAUAAUUUAAAUUUUGAGUUAUAAUGCUUAAAUUUUAUUAUAGGACGAGAAGACCCUAUAGAUCUUUAUUAUAAUUUUAUUUAGUUGUUUUUGUUUAUUUUUUAUUAAUUUAUUUUAUUUUUUAGUUGGGGUGAUUUAAAGAUAUAAUAAACUCUUUAUUUUUUUAUUCAAUGAUUUUUGUUUAAUUGACUUUUUAUUAGUGUUUUAAGAUUUAGAUACCUUAGGGAUAACAGCGUAAUUUUAACUGAGAGUUCAUAUCGACGUUUUAGAUUGCGACCUCGAUGUUGGAUUAAGGAUAUAUUUAGGUGUAGGUGCUUAAGUGUUAAGUCUGUUCGACUUUUAAAUUCUUACAUGAUCUGAGUU
rnacentral:rRNA from 1 species